AACGCGUGAGAAUCUGGCUCCAGGUCGGGGAUAACAGUUGGAAACGACUGCUAAUACCGGAUGUGCCGAGAGGUGAAAGAUUUAUUGCCUGGAGAUGAGCUCGCGUCUGAUUAGCUAGUUGGUGGUGUAAGGGACCACCAAGGCGUCGAUCAGUAGCUGGUCUGAGAGGAUGAUCAGCCACACUGGGACUGAGACACGGCCCAGACUCCUACGGGAGGCAGCAGUGGGGAAUUUUCCGCAAUGGGCGAAAGCCUGACGGAGCAAUACCGCGUGAGGGAGGAAGGCUCUUGGGUCGUAAACCUCUUUUCUCAAGGAAGAAGAAAGUGACGGUACUUGAGGAAUAAGCAUCGGCUAACUCCGUGCCAGCAGCCGCGGUAAUACGGAGGAUGCAAGCGUUAUCCGGAAUGAUUGGGCGUAAAGGGUCUGCAGGUGGAACUGAAAGUCUGCUGUUAAAGAGUUUGGCUUAACCAAAUAAAAGCGGUGGAAACUACAGAACUAGAGUGCGGUAGGGGCAAAAGGAAUUCCUGGUGUAGCGGUGAAAUGCGUAGAUAUCAGGAAGAACACCGGUGGCGAAAGCGUUUGCUAGACCGUACUGACACUGAG
rnacentral:rRNA from 1 species